UACGGGGGGGCAAGCGUUGUUCGGAAUUACUGGGCGUAAAGGGCUCGUAGGUGGCCAACUAAGUCAGACGUGAAAUCCCUCAGCUUAACUGGGGAACUGCGUCUGAUACUGGAUGGCUUGAGUUUGGGAGAGGGAUGGCGGAAUUCCAGGUGGAUAGCGGUGAAAUGCGUGAGAUAUCUGGAGGAACACCGGUGGCGAAGGCGGCAAUCCUGGACCAACACUGACACUGAGGAG
rnacentral:rRNA from 1 species